AUGGAACAUACAUAUCAAUAUGCAUGGGUAAUCCCUCUUCUCCCACUUCCAGUUAUUAUGUCAAUGGGAUUUGGCCUUAUUCUUAUUCCGACAGCAACAAAAAAUCUUCGUCGCAUAUGGGCUUUUCCUAGUGUUUUACUCUUAAGUAUAGCUAUGGUAUUCUCAGUUCAACUGUCUAUUCAACAAAUAAAUGGAAGUUCGAUCUAUCAAUAUCUAUGGUCUUGGACCGUCAAUAAUGAUUUUUCUUUAGAAUUUGGAUACUUGAUUGACCCACUUGCUUCUAUUAUGUUAAUACUAAUUACUACUGUAGGAAUCCUGGUUCUUAUUUAUAGUGAUGGUUAUAUGUCUCACGAUGAAGGAUAUUUGAGAUUUUUUGUUUAUAUAAGUUUUUUCAAUACUUCCAUGUUGGGAUUGGUUACUAGCUCCAAUUUGAUACAAAUUUAUUUUUUUUGGGAACUCGUGGGAAUGUGUUCUUAUUUAUUGAUAGGCUUUUGGUUUACACGACCAAUCGCAGCGAGUGCUUGUCAAAAAGCUUUUGUAACUAAUCGUGUAGGGGAUUUUGGUCUAUUAUUAGGAAUUUUAGGUUUUUUUUGGAUAACAGGUAGUUUAGAGUUUAGGGAUUUGUUCAAAAUAGCUAAUAACUGGAUUCCUAAUAAUGGAGUUAACUCUUUACUUACUACUUUGUGUGCUUUUUUAUUAUUCCUUGGUGCAGUUGCGAAAUCCGCACAAUUCCCUCUUCACGUAUGGUUACCCGAUGCUACGGAAGGACCCACUCCUAUUUCAGCUCUUAUACACGCAGCAACUAUGGUUGCUGCGGGAAUUUUUCUUCUAGCUCGACUUCUUCCUCUUUUCAUAUCUUUACCUUUGAUAAUGAGUUUUAUUUCUUUAGUAGGUACAAUAACACUAUUCUUAGGAGCUACUUUAGCUCUUGCUCAGAGAGAUAUUAAAAGAAGCUUAGCCUAUUCUACAAUGUCUCAAUUGGGCUAUAUGAUGUUAGCUCUAGGUAUAGGUUCUUAUCAAGCUGCUUUAUUCCAUUUGAUCACUCAUGCUUAUUCAAAAGCUUUAUUGUUCUUGGGAUCCGGAUCCGUUAUUCAUUCAAUGGAACCUCUUGUUGGAUAUUCACCAGAUAAAAGUCAAAAUAUGGUUCUUAUGGGCGGUUUAAGAAAAUACAUUCCAAUCACAAGAACUACUUUUUUAUGGGGUACACUUUCUCUUUGUGGUAUUCCACCUCUUGCUUGCUUCUGGUCCAAAGAUGAAAUCCUUAGUAAUAGUUGGUUGUAUUCGCCCUUUUUUGGAAUAAUAGCCUCCUUUACUGCAGGAUUAACUGCCUUUUAUAUGUUUCGGAUAUAUUUACUUACAUUUGAUGGGUAUUUGUGUGUUCAUUUUCAAAAUUACAGUAGCACUAAAGAGAGUUCCUUGUAUUCAAUAUCCUUAUGGGGAAAAAGGAUACCCAAAGGAGUGAAUAGGGAUUUCGUUUUAUCAACAACGAAGAGUGGAGUUUCUUUUUUUUCACAAAAUAUACCAAAAAUUCAAGGUAAUACAAGAAAUAGGAUAGGAUCCUUUACUACGUCUUUUGGGGCUAAAAACACUUUUGCCUAUCCGCAUGAAACGGGAAAUACUAUGUUAUUUCCUCUUCUUAUAUUACUACUUUUCACUUUGUUCAUUGGAUUCAUAGGAAUCUCUUUUGAUAAUGGAGGAAUUGGUAAUGGAAUAGCAUAG
rnacentral:rRNA from 1 species